UACGUAGGGUGCGAGCGUUGUCCGGAAUUAUUGGGCGUAAAGAGCUCGUAGGCGGUUUGUCGCGUCGGCCGUGAAAACUUGGGGCUUAACCCCAAGCCUGCGGUCGAUACGGGCAGACUUGAGUUCGGCAGGGGAGACUGGAAUUCCUGGUGUAGCGGUGAAAUGCGCAGAUAUCAGGAGGAACACCGGUGGCGAAGGCGGGUCUCUGGGCCGAUACUGACGCUGAGGAGCGAAAGCGUGGGGAGCGAACGGG
rnacentral:rRNA from 1 species